ACGAACGCUGGCGGCGUGCCUAAUACAUGCAAGUAGAACGCUGAAGAGAGGAGCUUGCUCUUCUUGGAUGAGUUGCGAACGGGUGAGUAACGCGUAGGUAACCUGCCUGGUAGCGGGGGAUAACUAUUGGAAACGAUAGCUAAUACCGCAUAACAACAGUUGUUGCAUGACAGCUGUUUAAAAGAUGCAAUUGCAUCACUACCAGAUGGACCUGCGUUGUAUUAGCUAGUUGGUGAGGUAACGGCUCACCAAGGCGACGAUACAUAGCCGACCUGAGAGGGUGAUCGGCCACACUGGGACUGAGACACGGCCCAGACUCCUACGGGAGGCAGCAGUAGGGAAUCUUCGGCAAUGGGGGGAACCCUGACCGAGCAACGCCGCGUGAGUGAAGAAGGUUUUCGGAUCGUAAAGCUCUGUUGUAAGAGAAGAACGGGUGUGAGAGUGGAAAGUUCACACUGUGACGGUAUCUUACCAGAAAGGGACGGCUAACUACGUG
rnacentral:rRNA from 1 species